AAGCUCGUAGUUGAAUUUCGGGAUUGACGUAAUGGUCAUGCCUUAAGGGGUAUGAACUGUUACUGUUGAUUUCUCACCUUCUGGAGAAACUUGAUGUCCUUUAUUGGGUGUCUUGCGGAUCCAGGACCUUUACCUUGAAAAAAUUAGAGUGUUUAAAGCAGGCAUUUUUGCUCGAAUACAUUAGCAUGGAAUAAUAGAAUAGGACGGCAUGGUUCUAUUUUGUUGGUUUCUAGGAUCACCGUAAUGAUUAAUAGGGAUAGUUGGA
rnacentral:rRNA from 1 species